GGCAGCGCCGGUCCCCGCCGCGGUCUCGCCGCUCGGGAUGGCCGCUGUGAAGAGUCCGGCCGGGCAGCAGAGAGGAGCGGGCAGCGCCGCUGAGUCCCGGCUGCUGCUUUAAAGCCCGGGCAAAGUGAACAGAGAGUGUUGCAGGCGGUUUAAUAAAAUAAAAGCGCCCGCUGGGUGCUACUGGAAAAGAGCUCAACUCCCUUCCUUAAAAAAAUCGUCAUGUUCGACUCUCGCCAGCUCCUGGCCAAAAGGGAGCGGAGGAAUUGUAAACCGGGAGAAGCAGCAGGUUUGCACGGAACCGGCCUUUGGGUCUCGAUUUACGGGGAUCUCGGAGGAGCAAAACGUUUCAUUAAAAAGCAAAAGGAAUAAUGCGAAAGAGCGGUUAUGUUGAUCGACUCAUCUGUGCUGUGCCACGGAAGGCAGGUCCCUUGCUGGAAAAAAGCGGAGUUUAACUCUCAGAGCCCCUUGGGAUCAGUGCCCUCAGCAGACAAGCCAGACUGAUCUGCCUAGAAGCUGGAAUGCCAAGGCACAGCAGGAGAAGGACUGGCUUACAGCAAAACGUCCUUGAUUUUUGGAUUCCAGAAGUCAAAGUGUUAUGCCUCAUAGUACCUAUUAUUCCAGUGGCUAGAACUAAGAUAGAAUGAAGGGAUUGAGAAGAAACUACUGCAGGCAAUGAGACAACACUACAGAAGGAAAAGCUUAGGCUGCCAGCUUACCUGGGAUGUUCUGCCAAGACAAAAGAUGGUGAUGAUAGAGGCCUGGAGAUCAUUAACCAAGUGCAUUACAUGAGGAAAGGAGGAGAAAAAGACACUACAGGCACUGUGAGAAGUGAACAUUAUUUUGUGGCUGAAUUUCAUCAUGUGGAAAGGCAGAGGACAUGAAGAAGAGAGAAUGCCAGCAACCAUGCUGUCAACUUUGCAAGUCAUUAACAAUCUGGAAAGAGACUGAGACACACUGUCAAGCUAAGCAGAACAUCUCAUGGAGACACAGAGAUGGACCAAAAUGGAAAGAUUUUUGGGUGCAAUUCCCUGUUCCUCCCUUCUGAGAAGCACUGAGUCCUGGCAGCCCAAAGACCUGAGUUAUGAACUGAGACUACACACUUAAGUUUUUUUUCUUACCCACUCUUCCCACCAUUAUUUGUCUAUUGAUGAUAUCGUGGGUAGAAAUGUUGGAGCUGGCCAAGUGUUCCGUGUUGGAUAGAUUGCUGCUUUCCUUCUACAUCACUUUUUGGAAGCAGUUUGAAGUCCACAAUCACACUGUGCCAUAACAACAAAUGCUUCAAGGAUGACAUUUCCAAAAGUACCUUUCUUCCAAGAAUCUCAGUGCUUUUCAACAUGAAUUACCAGCCCAUCUCUUGGUGAUAAGUAGGUGUUAUUUCCAUCUUCAAACUGAGAAACUUAAACUACUGCCUGAAGUAACUAUGAAUCAUCUACUUCUUGGAGCUUUCUUCUUCUUUUUUUCCAUGCUCUUUCCCUUUUGUCUCCUGGGCCAUUCUUAACCUCAAUUUCCUCUCCCCUCUGUCUAUAAUAAUCCUCUCGAUUAUUGUACCCAAACUUUAAAACUCUUCCUCCCAUGCAACUUGUGUGUGCGUGCUGUGCAUAAGUGCUCUCCUAAUUCAGGUAGUAGCAUCAAUAGAGCCUUUCAAAGAGCUGUAUUUAUGUAGAUAGGUUUAAAUUGUUAUUUCCACCCUGUAUGUGCAUGUGUGGGUGGGAGGAUUAGUCUGCAGAUAAGUUAAAGAGCACAGGUGUCUCAGGUGCCUCUGAUGUGGAGCACUGAACUGGAGGGAGGCAGUUUUGCCAAGAUUCUGAGCACUACCUGAUGCUUAGUAGGACACUGGGCAGCAUAUUGGCUGGUCUGUUUUCAGUCUAAAUAAACAAGUGCUUUCCUCCAGAAGGGUGUUUUGUUCAAGACAAAGGUAGCUGGUUUUACUCCCAGUAUUCACUGUACACAUCUCUCAAUUAAACUGUUGUUGCACUGA